GCUGGUCUUCCACGGGACGCCGGUGUUUGGACCUUCACAGCAGUCCACCUGAGUGACCGUGGAUGGCAGAGACUCCUCUGACCUAGCUCCGUUGCUCACAGCCACCCCCACAGGACACCCUGGAUGAGUGGAGGAUCACCUCAGCCUGUCAUCUGGCCACUUCAGAGAGGCAGAGAGAAACUCCCUAAAGGCUGUCCCCACGUCCUGGACCUGAGAGGCCAUCUACUCUGAGCAUGCCCCUCAGCAAGGUCACCAGCAGAAACAGCCACCUGCCUGCUGCCAUCCUGCCUCCCCAACCAGAGCAAGUCCUCUUUAUCCGCCUCCAAGCUGUCGUCCUCCCAGGGCAGGCUCAGGUUUCUACAGGUCCCCAGGCUCCCCAGGUGAGAUGUCCCUGGGGUGUAGUGCUCUCUCCUUCCUCUCCUUCAGUCCAACUCCGUGUCCACAGUGAAGGGUCCCAACGGAAACCCAUGGAUUUGAGGGAGGCACUUUCUCUUGGAAAACAGCCCCCGUCUAGAGGCUUACCUCCUCCUGAAGCCAUUCCCACAGGCAUGGGCCCGGACCACCACGGGCUGGCGGCCUCAACGUGAACACUCAAGGGCAGGACCCAGCGAGCGACCUGCUCCAGCAGACGCUCAGGAUGCAAGUAAAGGAGCCCAAGUUUGAAUCUCAACAGUAGAACGUGGGCCUCGAGACAUUCUGCAGUGGGGGAGGGGCUGAGGGCAGGUGAGCCUGGGUGGGGGUGGGGUACCAUUCCAUGCUGGCCUCUGCAGGUAGGCAAGAACCAGACGUUUCUUCCGCCUUAUGCAGUGGCCAGACAAUUGUUGAGUGCCUCCUUGGGCAAUGUAUGGGUUGGUUUUCAGAGUCAUAGCACCAAGGUUUGUCUCGAUGUUCCCUUUCACUUCGUUAUCCAUCAACCUAGUUGUUGUCCCUCAACCCGCUCUGCUUCCGUCCUGGCUCUUGACUUACAUCCCCGGAGGCUAGACUCUCUGAACAAAAUUCACCAUUUCUCACCUGAUAAACACUUGGGUAUUCAUGGCCGCCUGGGACACAAUGUUUAAACUUUGGCUUCUCUCAGCAGACCCACCAUUUUUGAUUGGUGUAUGUCCAUCUUUCCUAAAGAAGCGGUCCUUGUGUGCCAACCAGCAUCCAGCAGGACCCACCUUACUCACGUUCCUGUGUGCUGGAAAGGCCCAGUCCAUCCAAAAAGCCGUUGCACAGCCCACGUGUCCAAGACCAGAGAUCACUCUGACUUGUUUCCCGUAUUAUGACAUUGCUGGUAAGUACUGUGUGUUUCACCUUUUAAGUGAUUUAAUGUCACAUUUUCAACAAAUCAUACCUUCUCCGGGAUCACAAUCCACUUGCGCAAAAUAGAAUAUGCAGUGUUGAGUCCUCCUCCCCACCUCUUUGCCCUGUCCACUCAGUCCUCUUUCCAAACGGAAAUCAGUGUUACCUGUUUCAUUGAAAUCUUUUCAGAGAUAGUUUGGGCAAGGAAAGUUGAAUGCAAUCCAUUUGCCUUUUCAAGAAGUAUUGCUUUGUCUCUGGUUGAAAAUUAAAAUGUGCGCAGGGAACUGCAUCUUGGACUUGUGA
ensembl:lncRNA